rnacentral:rRNA from 1 species
GACGAACGCUGGCGGCGUGCUUAACACAUGCAAGUCAAGGGGGCCCAGCAAUGGGCAACCGGCGAACGGGUGCGUAACACGUGAGCAACCUACCGAACUGUGGGGGAUAGCCGGCCUAACGGCCGAGUAAUACCGCAUACGCUCUCAGGGAGGCAUUUCUUUGAGAGGAAACCUACGGGACAGAUCGAGGGGCUCGCGGCCUAUCAGCUAGUUGGCGAGGUAACGGCUCACCAAGGCAACGACGGGUAGCUGGUCUGAGAGGACGAUCAGCCACACUGGGACUGAGACACGGCCCAGACUCCUACGGGAGGCAGCAGUGGGGAAUCUUGCGCAAUGCGCGAAAGCGUGACGCAGCAACGCCGCGUGGGGAAGAAGGCCUCGGUU